GUCUACAGCCAUUCCACCCUGGCUGUGCCUUAUCUUGGAAGCAAAGGAGGGUCAGGCCCGGUUAGUACUUGGAUGGGUGACCACCUGGGAAUACUGGCUGUGGCAAGGU
rnacentral:rRNA from 1 species